CCACCGCCCGGCUGAAAUACCAUGAUCUUAAAUUGGUUUUCCAGAGUGAGGCUUAUCCAUUUGACUGGAGAUAUGCUGAAUUCUGUGAUUUCCCCAAAUUCAGGAAAUUCAACUGCAUUAUUUGUAAUAAUGGGGAACUGUGUUAAAGCUCUUCCCUG